rnacentral:rRNA from 1 species
CCUACGGGGGGCAGCAGUGGGGAAUAUUGGACAAUGGGCGAAAGCCUGAUCCAGCCAUGCCGCGUGUGUGAAGAAGGCCUUCGGGUUGUAAAGCACUUUCAGUGGGGAAGAAAGCCUUGGGGCUAAUACCCUCGAGGAAGGACAUCACCCACAGAAGAAGCACCGGCUAACUCCGUGCCAGCAGCCGCGGUAAUACGGAGGGUGCGAGCGUUAAUCGGAAUUACUGGGCGUAAAGCGCGCGUAGGCGGUCUGAUAAGCCGGUUGUGAAAGCCCCGGGCUCAACCUGGGAACGGCAUCCGGAACUGUCAGGCUAGAGUGCAGGAGAGGAAGGUAGAAUUCCCGGUGUAGCGGUGAAAUGCGUAGGGAUCGGGAGGAAUACCAGUGGCGAAGGCGGCCUUCUGGACUGACACUGACGCUGAGGUGCGAAAGCGUGGGUAGCAAACAGGAUUAGAUACCCGAGUAGUC